GACGAACGCUGGCGGCGUGCCUAAUACAUGCAAGUAGAACGCUGAAGGAGGAUCUUGCUUCUCUGGAUGAGUUGCGAACGGGUGAGUAACGCGUAGGUAACCUGCCUGGUAGCGGGGGAUAACUAUUGGAAACGAUAGCUAAUACCGCAUAAUAGUAGAUGUUGCAUGACAUUUACUUAAAAGGUUCAAUUUCAUCACUACCAGAUGGACCUUCGUUGUAUUAGCUAGUUGGUGGGGUAACGGCUCACCAAGGCGACGAUACAUAGACGAACUGAGAGGGUGAUCGGCAAAACUGGGAGGGAGACACGGCACAGAAGACUACGGGAGGCAGCAGUAGGGAAACAUCGGAAAUGGACGAAAGUAUGACCGAGAAAGGCAGCGGGAGGGAAGAAGGAUGUCGGAUCGUAAAGAUCUGGUGAAAGAGAAGAAAGAGUGGGAGAGUGGAAAGUUCACAGUGUGACGGUAACGUACAAGAAAGAGACGGCUAACUACGUG
rnacentral:rRNA from 1 species